ACAUUCGGUGAUAUUUUUUCGGUGCUAAAACCCUUUCGGCCGAAAGGGCCUUUUUAACCAUUUUCGGCCGAUAAUUUUCGGUGGCCGAAUAUUCGGUGCAUCCCUACUACUUAGCGGCUCUUCCUCAGAAUCAUUAAGAACACAGCAGUGGCCAAAAGUGUUUCCAAUCCCGGUCUUCUCCUAUGACACAGAAUGUCAAUUACAGAGAGGAAAUGCAGAGUACACAAAGAACCAAUCUAGACUGACACCAAGCUCAAAUCAUCUGCAGAGCUUGCUGUGAACUCGUUGAAGACCAAGUCUCAAGAGUCCUACCCUGCGAAGAAUUUUAAAGAGAGCCAGGCGAGCUGAUGCCAACCAUUUUCCAUCCUUGCCGAUUGGUGAGACUCCAGAAAGCAUGGAGCAAGAGACAAUUUCCCUUUUGGCUGAACAACAGAAAAGAAACAACCGGCAAUCAAUAAAAGAAAAGAUGGCGAAGGCGUUUGGAUACUGAAGACAAGAAAUAGUGCAUCGGAGGCCAAGCAUUGAAGGCCUCUUGGAGCGGUGGCCUGCACUUUUUCACAUGGAAGAGGUAAAUGCUGAGUUAAUGCGCAUAACAACAAUUCCAUUGGAGACAAAGUUCUUGGUGCAGUUGGACAAACACUCAAGUCAUCAGGAGCAGGGGAGGAGUUGUGAAACAGAAGACCACCGGGAUCUUGCAGGUUUUGGAUGAGACUGUGGACAUCGCCAUCAGAAGAGAAUGCGUCCUCAAAUCUCUAAUGAUCUACCUGGGUGAACCUGUUGACCAUCUCAUCAAAGAAUUCCAGGACGCUGAGGCUGGAGAACUGGAGCAGGCAACAAUGGAAGCCUUUGACACUGGGAAAGAGGAUCAGCUUCAUCGACCCAAAGACGUCAAGGUUCUCAUCGAAGGAACAGAGGUCCUCAGCGGCUUGCCCUCGGUUGCGACAGCUUUUGCCAUGCUCUUCGGGCUCAUAUACGCACUGAAAUGGGGCGAAGCCUGCGAGCUAGUUCAGGCAGUCAACUCGAGCACUUAUGCUGCAUUCAUACAUAACGCCCCCUUGCCACUCUACAACCAACCAAACAGAGUCUCCUUAAUAUGCCGCUCUAUUUAACCUGCCAGAUCUCUCUCCAUGCAUUGCUUGCUGCUGCUAUUGCUGCAGAUACCUCUACGUCGCUGCUGCUCGCUGCCCCACCACCACCCCAGCUUCCACCUGUAGGCUCGGGGGUUAGUUAUUUGAUCAUCACUCAUCGUGCUAUGUAUAUCUAUGGAGUGAUGAUGCCCGAGCCUAGUCGCCAAACUCAACUAUAUGCUGCUUCUAAUAAACAUGUUAAAGGAACACGUGAGUUGUCUGACUGAACUUAAGAUAUCAGAAAUAACUGCAAUCCACUUUUGAAGUUGUGCAAAAAGUCCUGAUGGAGGGGAAAAAGAUGAGCCCAAAAGUGAAUAGACUGAGAACCCAGCUGGUAGACACUUUGUUGCACUCACUCACAGUUACCAGUGUUACAUGGUAAGGCUUCUAAAACCAAGGUUUUAUAAUAAUUAUGCAUUGUAAAACAUUUGCGAAAAAGUGUUGUGUUCAGAAGUUGCACUUACAGUAUGACCGAUUUUCACUGUAGAAGUUAUGCAUGUCUAAUCAUUUUCAGAGAUUACAUGUCUCACAGGCGCACGUUGUCAGUGUUGCUUUAAAAAAGUGUGCAGUGGAUAAUAAGGACAUGUCUUUUUUCUAAGAGUUUGAUGUUUGGAAGCGGCCCACAUAUUACCGCAUUUUAACUGUGGUACUUAUUAACAUGUCUAAGAUCAGGUAAUGGCUGCCUCAGAGGCCAAAGCUGGUUGUGUGAACAACUUGUUUUUCAUUUAAAUAAAUGUGCUCUGGUGUUAAAAUAUACAGAUUGAUCUGAAGAAAUUGAGUCAAUGUAAAAUAUUUCGUGUGAUUGAUUACUCUAAUAUUUUUUUGUUGGUACAACGUUUUACUUUUAUUAGUGUACCUUUCAGUUGCAUUGCACUCCUUAAACGUGUUUGAGACACUUUAGAUAACAAUGUGGCUGUCAUUUGAUUAACUCUGAAAAUACAGAGGUUUUUAUUGAAUAAAUCACCCAAAAAU